rnacentral:lncRNA from 1 species
GAUGAGAAUUUGUCUGGGGUUACAGCAUGGGCUGGUAGCAGAGUAAGGGCCACAUAUGUGACUCUUGCCCCUCCUCAGCUCUCCUCUUCUUGCUGCUUAUUGGGAUAAUGACUUAGUUAAUGAGUUGUUCUUGUUCAUUUGAAGGGAGAACCGGGUCCACCAGGCAAAGGAGUGGAAAUGGAGGAUCUAGAGAGGCUUUUUGAAGCAAAUGGUAUCAAGCUGGCAUUGCUGAAGGACCUCUCCAAUGUGCUCCUGCAGAAUGGGCUGGAUGGCCUCAUGUGGCAGCUCGGUGGCUCCAGGACAAGCCAGACCUCCAGGAGAAAGCAGGCAGCUCUGCAUAUCACUGAGCACAGUGGUCCAUCUGCUGGUGGUUCUGAACCUGAGUACCUGUCCCUAGGGGACCCUCCUGAGUCCUUGGAGAAAACAUCUGAGGAAAGAAGGAAGGAGACAGACUCAAAAGGGGCAAACAGUUCUCUCAGCGGUGGCUUGGCUGUGCCCCCACCAGACCCAGAAGAUGAUCUACAAGGAAGCCAGUCCAUGGGGCUUCAGGAGUCCUUGGAGGACAGGGUGGAAGGACAACCAGAGCAGGACACCAGCCAUGAAAAUGUGAAUUCAGAUGAAGGCUCUGCACUCCUAAGGCAUGUUAGAGCCAGGAGAUCUGCUGAGCACAAGGCACACAAGGUUCAUCCCCCUGGUGCCCCAGGAGCUCGGAAAUCCCUGCCUGGAUCUGCGGUGAGCGAAGACUCCAUACAAUGCAUACAAGGGGAAUGCUGAUUGCCCACUUGUGCAAAGUCACAGUGAAUGUAGAGAGUCAGGUGAAAAGUUAGUGAUAAAUAUGAAUAAAUAAAGGAAGAAAGAGCUGCUGCAGAAGCAUCUUUCUUGGCAGAGCAGAUUGUUCUCCCUGUAUCUGGCAAGGGGCUUGGAAACAGAAGCGGGGAAAAUCAAACUCAAUCAAUCAAUGAGAGAACAUAGUAACUUGGUUCAUGGGGAAGGCAGCAUAAGUGAAGGGUAUUUU